UGAAAAUUGGUUGUUAGAAUCAAAGGGUUUAGUUUGAAAUUGUUCUGCUAGGAAUUGACUUGGCUUGAAAUAUUUGGUUUAAUUUGAUAUUAUUCUCUUAGUUAGUUUCUAUUUGUGUAUGUUUCUUUCCCUUCUCUGGGAUCCUGUCUUCUGCCUUCUGCUCUUCCAUCCUCUCACACUCUCCUCCAUUUUUCUAGCCCUGUAGAUAAUUCUUGUCAUUUGACUUCAGUGGGGCUUGAAUUCAGGUCCUUUUGGUUUGAAGGUUACUUUCAUAUAUAUUAUUUUAUGCUUUCAGUCUACCAGUAUGUCUUUGGAAGUUGUAUAUGACUCAUCAGUGUGUCUGAUUCUGCAGCAGAUGUGCAAUUUUUGGCCACUCUGACAAAUGUCUACUACUCAUAAUGAAUAACUUUGACUUGUUUCAGAAUGCUGCUGACUUUGUUCUUUUAUUUCAUGUAUUGCAUACAAUAAUGAUACUUGUGAUAUAUCACGACAGUGAAAUUGCAAGCUGUGUUUGUGUAUUCAGUAUAGAAUUUAAGCACUCAUGUAGGGAUAUCCAUAUCUUUCAAUCUGAAAAACUACCACUGAAAUUGGUUGAUUUCUAUUCCCCAAUAUAAUAUUCUGGAGCAGUUGUGGUGAGCUGCCUCUUUUGUAGACCAAAUUGAUGGGCCUCUGGAAUAAGGAGAUUCUGACUAUAGGCCAUAUUAGCUAUUUCAUUUCACAAACAAACCAGAAGUUUCUAUUGACUAUCACAAGCAGCACCAUGCAACAUCAUGAUUGUCAGCUGUUGUCCAUAAUCACAGAUGUCAGACCAUUCUUGCUGGCAGGAGUUGUGUGUCAGUUUGUUGAUUGAAACACAGGCUUAGAGAAAUCACCACAAAUGCAAUGUGCUUAGCUGUGACAAGUAAAUGGUCCAUUUUUUAUAGAAUUUGUAUAUAUCGAUAAUAUGCCAACUAAAUACUUGUUUUUCUUUGUGGGCUUUGACUUAUCUGCCUUCCUCUUUUAUAUGGUAUAGCUAUUCCUCUUUCAUAUGUGUAUUAUUGUUUUAUUGUAAUUCUACCCAUUUUGGAUUUAAAACUUUGCAUAUUGAAUGGUUUUCUUCUUCCAAGACUUAAUAACUAGCUCAGCUGAGCUGAGCUGGUUAUUAAGUCCAGUUGCCACAAGACUGGAUACAAGAUUCCUUAUGUUUGAUGACAAUAUAUAUUUUGGUAAAGGAAAAAUGAUUUAUGAAAAAUGAAAAGGUAUAUUUCUGUUAGACAUUUUCUGUUUAUUUCUAUUUUGCACAUUUUUUCAUACUAAUCUAGAUAGCUAUAUUGCUGCUGUUUCCUAGUGAAUUAUUAUAUACAGUUUAUCAAAUUUAUAUACUGUCAAAAAUGUACAUUCUUAACACUACAAACAGCAGUAGAAUUAAAUAAAAACUUUAAUAAUUGAUUAGGUAUCUGAGGAACCAAAAACAUUAUGUCUUGAGUUUCUAAUGAAUGGAGAAUCUUGAACUCCUAAUGAACAGACAGAAUUAUUCAUCAUUAAAGAGAUUUAGUUAUAAGAGACAAUUAAAGAAUUCAUCUCUUUUUCCUUUCGUAUUCUAUCUUUCCUAUAAUUCUUUUAUUUUCAUUUCAUUUCAUCAUUUGUUCUUCUAGUGGC
rnacentral:lncRNA from 1 species